rnacentral:rRNA from 1 species
AUUGAACGCUGGCGGCAGGCCUAACAAAUGCAAGUCGGGCGAGCGACGGACGGGUGAGUAAUGUAUGGGGAUCUGCAGGAUGGCGGGGGAUAACUACUGGAAACGGUAGCUAAUACCGCAUACCAUCAGAUGUGCCCAGAUGGGAUUAGCUAGUAGGUGGGGUAAUGGCUCACCUAGGCGACGAUCCCUAGCUGGUCUGAGAGGAUGACCAGCCACACUGUAACUGAGACACGGUCCAGACCCGUACGGGAGGCAGCAGUGGGGAAUAUUGCACAAUGGGCGCAAGCCUGAUGCAGCCAUGCCGCGUGUGUUAAGAAGGCCUUCGGGUUGUAAAGCACUUUCAGCGAUGAGGCGUUACUCGCAGAAGAAGCACCGGCUAACUCCGUGCCAGCAGCCGCGGUAAUAC